rnacentral:misc_RNA from 1 species
UUGAUUAUUAGUUUGUGAUACGCAGGUAAAAUAAUGGUCUCAGUGCUAACAGUUUGUUUAGUCUUAGGACUUGUUAGUCCUGGACUAUGUAAUUUUUUCGAUUUUUUAUGGCCACCGCCACCGAAUCCAAUUGUUAACGUAACCGUGCCGGAUGUAUCAACUUUGCCACCGUAUCCAAUUGUUAACGAAGUGUUGAACGAUACCAUACCGAAUGUAUCGACACAGACACCCCCAAUUGCUAACGAUAUUUUUAACGGUACCAUGCCGAAUCCAUGGCCUUGGGCACCUAAUCCAUUUAUUAACGGUACCAUGCAGAAUCUUUGGCCACCGAAUCCAUAUUUUAACGAUAUUUUGAACGGUACCAUAUCGAAUGUAAUUUAGGGUAAAGGCGAUAUGCAGGCAUAUUGGGUCUUUGAAAAUAUCUACAACGACGAGAACUAUCAAGACUAAAUUAUACAAAAAAGUAAAGAUGUAUAUAUGUAAAUAAAAGUUUAUCAAUCACAAAUAUACUUUACAUUUAAUAAAA